rnacentral:ncRNA from 2 species
UGGGACACCUCGGGGUGGCCGGAAACGGCCUGAGAUGCGUCAUCGCGAACCCGUUGAACCUGAACCGGUUAGGACCGGCGGAGGGAAGGUUGGUUUUCUGGUU